AUUUCUAACACCAUUAAGUUGGUUUAUGGAAAAGUAAUAAAAUCCUCUUUUGCAACCCAGAACUCAUUGUUCAGUAUGAGUUUUGAUAUAUAUAAGAAAGAAUAUU
rnacentral:snoRNA from 1 species